UUGGUAUGGGGGGGGCAUUCAGGCCUGGAAGUGUGGUGCCACCAGUAGGCGGAUGGUCGUGGGUUGUAUAAGGAAGGUAGCUGGGCAAGGCAUGGGGAGCCAGCCAGGAAGCAGCGUUCCUCCGUGGCCUCCGUUUCAGUCCUGCCUCCAGGUUCUGCUGCGGCUUCCCUUCAGAAUGGACUGUGAUUGGGAUGUGCGUGAAGACUAUCUGCAAAAACCUGGGAAACACUUUGCCUUGUGCCUUUUACACAUGGAUGGUUAGUUCCAUUAUAAUCCAUUUUACUUCCAAAGUGUUCUCUUGAUGGAGGCGGGAGCCUCAACACGGAAUUUUAAAACAAAACAAAUGGACCCUUAAGAAGGCAAAAAUGUGCGUGGAGCAUCAUCUGGACUGAAGUAUGCGCAUCUGUCAAGAGCAAUUUCUUUGAUGUGUAUGGGGAGGUGAACAUUCCUCCGGAGCUUUUCCCAUCAGAGUUUGGAAAACCCAACGCAUCUUGAAAUUCAUCAGUUUGACCACUGUGCUGUUAGAAGUGUCUAUAACAAUCGACUCAACACAUCUGUGAGACUGGAAAGACAGCGUGGAACUUGAAUAAGCCCCUUGUCACGGAAAUUAAUGUACUAGUUAAAAACGAAGGGACUUAGAUGGCGUCUUCAGAGACGACUCCAAGAAAGGGUGUCUCCAGCUUCCACCUGCUGUUGAGCCCGCACCCUCUGUCUCCUUACCCAUGAUUGACAGCUUCCCUCGGUGGCUGGGAUCCAUGAGUCCUUCUCUCUGCCAGGCCCAGCGUCCCCCCUCUUUGGGGACCUUUCUGAGCUUUUCAUGUCCUCAUGCCCUGGAAUUCUUCUCCUGCUGUUACCCGCAGCCUGUGGCUUCUGCUUGCUCUCUGCCCACAUGCUUCUGAGGGUCCAGGGCACAACAGAGACGGUUGUCUGAGCCCAUGGCACCACCCUCCUGGGCUGAGUUUUCACCUCCGCCCCUUUAACCACCCACCAUUGCCCUUCAACAUCUGCCACUUAAAACUGUCUCGCUACAGUCUCUGUCCCUCCGCGUGGCUUCUCGGGAUCCGUUUUAUGGUAACUGAACUCAUAUUCAUUACAGAAUAUUUGAAAAAGAAGUGAAAGUUUUAAAAUUAUAGAGGAAGUAACAUCUAAUGUCUUGGCUGACUUAUUCUAGGGCUUUCUAUGCUUUUAAACACUGUAGGGACCACAGUGCACAUGCAUGCUUUCCCAAGCUUUUCUGUUUUUUGCUCUUUAUGAGAACACAUGGCUUUAUUUAUUAAUGGUGUGGUUCUCUUUUAUAAUUUCUUAAUUUGUUUUCUACAUACCUUGUGAUUUCCUUCCUUUUUAUUUUUUUAAAUGGGAAGUCUUUAUCCCUUUCUGUCUUACUUGAAUGUAUAGAUGAUUUAUGUUUAAUCAUCUUAUUUAAAAUGAAAUAUCUGGGAUUGAUUUUUUCCCUCCCUUAUUAUAUGCCCUCAUUAAAGUUAGACUUUAUGGAUGUACACUAGGGGGUGCCUGUGUGUGGCCAAGCAUCUCUAUGUUUAUGUCCUAAACACCUUAAACUUAACUUCUGAUUUCAACUAACUUCCUUUUGUGAA